rnacentral:rRNA from 1 species
GUAGCAGCUGGAAACGGCUGGUAAUACCGCAUAAGCGCACAAUGUUGCAUGACAUGGUGUGAAAAACUACCGGUGGUAUAAGAUGGACCCGCCGUCUGAUUAGCUAGUUGGUGAGAUAACAGCCCCACCCAAGGCGACGAUCAGUAGCCGACCUGAGAGGGUGACCGGCCACAUUGGGACUGAGACACGGCCCAGACUCCUACGGGGAGGCAGCAUG